rnacentral:rRNA from 1 species
ACGCUCGACACCUACGAGAGGCAGCAGUGGGGAAUAUUGCACAAUGGGGGAAACCCUGAUGCAGCGACGCCGCGUGAGCGAAGAAGUAUUUCGGUAUGUAAAGCUCUAUCAGCAGGGAAGAAACUGACGGUACCUGACUAAGAAGCACCGGCUAAAUACGUGCCNGCAGCCGCGGUAAUCUGAGCGGGCUGGCAAGGC